rnacentral:lncRNA from 1 species
AUUGUAUGAAUGGCCGAAUACCUUGGCCUUGAGUUUUGUAUAUUAUAUAUAGACUUUACAAGGAUGCUAUACAUGGAAAGCAAAUAAAAGCAAAUAAAUUCCCGCAUGAUUCUAGCCCUAUACAUGUAAACUAUAAUCUGUCAAAUAAUAUAUGCUAACUGUACAGAAUAAUAAAUGGAGAAAUAAGGAAACAAUUGUGGGCUAAAAUAAGGAAACAAUUGUGGGCUAAAAUAAGGAAAGAAGAAGUGUGGACAGCAAGUUGUCAUGGAGAAAUAAGGAAACAAUUGUGGGCUAAAAUAAGGAAAGAAGAAGUGUGAACAGCAAGUUGUCCUUUGACAGCCCCCCUCAAAUUGAUGCAGGUUAAUCAACAAGCAUGAAUUUGCUACUUAGCAAGCAAUGUCGAUGACGAGGGAGAGCCUUGGUGAAGAUAUCAGCAACUUGUAAGUCAGUGGAAAUAUGUGGAAGAGUGAUAACACGAGCUUCAAAGGCUUCACGGAUAGAGUGAUAGUCCACUUCAAUAUGCUUUGUGUGCUCAUGAUAGACAGGAUUGGCUGUGAUCUGAAUAGCACUUGUAUUAUCGGUAUGUAGAGGUGUAGGAUCGGUCUCAGAAAAAUCUAACUCCGCAAGCAAACCUCGAAGCUAAAUGAUUUCAGAACAAGCAAGAGACAUCUCCCGAUACUUAGAUUCCGUAGAUGACUUAGAGACUCUGUCUUGCUUCUUACUUUUCCAAGAUAUCAAUGCAUCACCUAAAAACACACACCAACCAGUGAUGGAGUGACGAGUAUCCGCACAACCAGCCCAAUCAGCAUCACUAUAAGCAGCAAGGCGAGUAGAAUUGCCUGCAGGGAAGAACAAGCCACGAGUAGAAGUGCCUUGAACAUAGCGUAUGAUCCUACGGACAACAUCCAAAUGAAGAUGACGAGGAGUCUGAAGGAACUGGCUGACUUGCUGUACAGCAAAAGAAAUGUCCGGUCUAGUAAUGGUGAGAUAAACAAGACUACCCACCAACUUCCUGUAUAAACUGGGAUCAGCAAGUAAGUCGCCUUCCUCUUUACGAAGCUUGACAUUUAAUUCCAUGGGAGUAUCAACAGAAGUAGCCCCUUGUAGACCAGCUGUAGCCACCAAGUCACUCGCAUACCUAUGUUGAUUGAAGGAAAUACCAGAGGGACUAUGAUGCACCUCAAGACCAAGAAAAUAUGUGAGAGACUCAAGAUCUUUCAUAUGAAAGGGCUCGGAGAGAUGAGUUUUGAGCUGACCAAGUAAAGCAGAAUCGGAACCAGUGAUCACAAUAUCAUCAACAUAAACCAAAAGAACAACAAUACCCAUGUUUGAUUUCCGAAGAAACAAGGAAGUGUCAUACUUGCUCUGCUUGAAUGAAAAUUGUAAUAAAGUGGUGCGGAAUUUAUCAAACCAAGCCCUCGGAGCCUGUUUGAGACCAUAAAGAGAGCGACGAAGCUUACACACAUGUGAAGUCGGAGAGGGAAACAAUCCCGGGGGUGGCUUCAUAUAAAUACACUCUUUAAGAUCCUCAUGAAGAAAAACAUUUUUUACAUCCAUCUGAUGUAGUGGCCAAUCACUAGAAGCAGCAAGAGCUAGAAUCGUACGAACAGUAGUCAUUUUAGCCACAGGAGCAAAGGUCUCUUCAUAAUUGACACCAUAUUCCUGAUUAUUCCCAAGUGCAACAAGCCGAGCUUUGUAACGAUCCAAACUUCCAUCAGAUCGGACCUUGACUGAGUAAACCCAUUUGCAACCCAAAGGAACAAUAGUGGGAGGACAGGGCUCAAUGUCCCAAGUGUGAUUGGCCUCUAGAGCCGCAAUUUCUUCCUGCAUAGCUUGUCGCCAACAAUCAUGCUUGGCAGCAUGUGAGUAGCAUGUGGGAAUAUCAAAAUUGGACAAUGUAGCAGUAAGGGCUGAAAUAGAAUUUCCAGAACUGGAAGAGGGAAAUCCAUACCUAUUCGGAGGUACAGACACUCGAGAAGAACGACGUACUGAAGGUGCUGGAGGUACUGCAACUGACUGAAUCUGGAGCGUGGUAGGAUCAGAUAUCGGGUGAGCCAUCGAAAGAGACUAUGGGCGAGAGCGUCUCGUAUACACAAUACCUGGUUGAAAGCGAGAACUGAGUGGAUGAAGAUUUGAGAACUGCUGCUCAAAGGAGGGGAGGACCACAGUAGAAGAGGAUGACACAGUAGAAGAGGAUACAGGAAAGAAAUGUUGAUUUUCAAAGAAAAUAACAUUCCUAGAAAUACGUGUACGAUGUAAUGUAGGAUCAUAGCAAACAAAUCCCUUUUGACACAUAUUAUAUCCCAAGAAAGCACAUCGAACAGAUUGAGCUGAUAAUUUAUGUCGCUCAUGAGGAGGUAAAUGAACGAAACAUACACAACCAAAAAUACGAAGGUGAUCAUAACUAGGUUGCUUAGCAAAUAAGCGGAAAUAGGGAGACUCCAUUUGUAGGACUUGAGAAGGUAAACGAUUAAUCAAGUGAGUGGCAGUUUUUAGAGCCUCUACCCAAAACAUGGAUGGAACAGAAGAUUCUAACAAGAGAGUAUGUACCACAUCUAGAAGAUGAUGAUUUUUGCGUUCGGCAACUCCAUUUUGUUGAGGAGUAGAGGGACAUGAACGUUGAUGAAUAAUAUCCUUAGAAGCCAAGAAUGCUUGAAACUCAGUAGACAAAUACUCACCACCGGAAUCUGUGUGUAAUGUCUUAAUAGAAGUAGAAAAUUGAUUGUCAACAUACGCUAAAAACUCAGUGAAAGUACGAAAGACCUCAGAUUUAGAGCGAAGAAAGUAGACCCAAGUAAAUCUGCUAUGAUCAUCAAUGAAAGUCACAUAAUAUUUAAAUUUCUCAUGUGAACUAACCGAGGAAGGUCCCCAAACAUCAAUAUGGAUAAGAUCAAAGCAGUGAGAUGCUCUACUUGCAUGCAAAGGGAAGGUAAGAGUUUUACUUUUACCAAGUUUGCAAGAAUCACACUCAAGAGAUAAAGAAGAACGAUCCUUAUUAUCAGGUAAAUCAGAGUUCAAUACAUGAGAUAAGAUCUGAGUAUUGGGAUGGCCUAAACGACGAUGCCACACCAUACUAAGAUCUGAAACAUUAUUACAAGCAAAAGACUCAAUAGAAGAAAGUGGAGAAAAAUCUGGAACAGGUAAAAAUAGUGGAAACAAGCGCCCCACUUUAGGUCCCUUCGCGAUCGGCUUCCUCGUUACCUGGUCCUGCACAACACAGCCAUUACUAAAAAAAUUAACAGCACAAUUGUUAUCAACUAAUUGGCCAACAGAAAUAAGAUUCGUGGAAAGCUGAGGAGCAAGAAACACAUCAGUGAACUUAGAAGAGGCAUCGCCGAUAGCAGCUAUGGGCAAAGAGCUGCCAUUGGCAGUCUGAAUGGAAGAUUGACCAGCGUAGGGCCGAACAUGACACAAAGCGGUGGGAUUAUUAGUCAUGUGAUUAGAGGCCCCCGAGUCCACAUACCAGAGUUUAGUGGAAUUGUUACCUUGAAACCCCAUUGCUAAUAAUGCAGAAAUUAACAUCUGUUGCACCAUUUCUGGAGUGCAGUAAUUUGGUGCAGGAGGUGCAGGAACAGAGCACGCAGCUGAAGGAGAGUCGUGUGCUGCAGAAGUUGCUACAGGAGGGACAAUAACCGAAGUUUGAAAUGCUUGGGUCUGACGAUUCUGGGGGCGAAUAUGAUAUUCUUUGAUAAUGUGACCCUUCUUCUUGCAAUAAGAACAAAAAUUCUUAGGGCAAGUGGCAGCAAUAUGCUCAUAUUCCUUGCAGCAGAAACAUUGCAAGUUUUUAGAAUGCACAGGUGGUCCGCGUCCUUGGGCAGCAUAAGCUACAGUUGCCGUCUCGGAAUUGCCAUGAGAUUGCUCCAGAAUAGCUUGAGUACUAAGGCGUUAUUCUUCGCGAAGUAACUCACCAAAACAAAUAUCAAGAGAGGGAACAAGAGAUCUAUUUAGUAAAGAGGAGCGGACAGAUUCAUAUUCCGGACGUAGUUUCAUAAAAAACUGAUCACGCCUGGUAGUCGCGUGAAUAGUCUGAAUAGUUGAGAGAGCGGCAAUAGGAACAUUCGCUAUAACCAAAUCAACAUAUUCAUGCCAAAGAGUCAGAAAUGCCGAGUAGUAGUCCUGGAUGGAAAGACUACCAUGUUGAAACAUGACAAUCACAUGUUCUAACUGAAAGCGACGAGCAUCGUUAUCUUGAUGAUAAACUUUCUUCAAAUAAGCCCACAUAGAUUGAGCGGAGCAAUGGGGCUGCAAGUGGGUGACAAUAUGAGGCUCCACUGAACCAAGAAGCCAAGACAUGAUGCGUGCAUCAAGCACAACCCAUGAAGGAGAAGACCCAACAUCCUGAGAUUUGUCAAAAGUGGAUGGUUUUUCAACAUCCGUGCCAUCAAUAUGACCCUAAAGGUCUUUUCCUUUGAGAAAAAGUUCAAACUGAAAUGCCCAGGUAGAAUAAUUUGUGCCUGUAAACUUAACACACAGAGGUGCGGAAUCCAUAGAAAAUAAAUAGAACCUGAGACAAAAUGAUGGACCAAAAAAAAAAAAAAUUCCCAGAAGAAAACUGACCCACGACAGCCACAGAAAUACCGAGAAAAAUGGUUGUGGUUGGGUGUAGAACGGAUCAACACAGACUUGACCGAAAGACACGAGAGGCACCUUCGAAACCGAGAAGACAGAAAAGAAUUUGAGGGAAGAAAAAUUUAGCAACCUUGCUCUGAUACCAUGUCAAAAUAUUGUAUAAAUGGCCGAAUACCUUGGCCUUGAGUUUUGUAUAUUAUAUAUAGACUUUACAAGGAUGCUAUACAUGGAAAGCAAAUAAAAGCAAAUAAAUUCCCGCAUGAUUCUAGCCCUAUAUAUGUAAACUAUAAUCUGUCAAAUAAUAUAUGCUAACUGUACAGAAUAAUAAAUGGAGAAAUAAGGAAACAAUUGUGGGCUAAAAUAAGGAAAGAAGAAGUGUGGACAGCAAGUUGUCCUUUGA